rnacentral:rRNA from 1 species
ACGAACGCUGGCGGCAUGCCUAACACAUGCAAGUCGAACGAGACCUUCGGGUCUAGUGGCGCACGGGUGCGUAACGCGUGGGAACCUGCCCUUAGGUUCGGAAUAACUCCCCGAAAGGGGUGCUAAUACCGGAUAAUGUCUUCGGACCAAAGAUUUAUCGCCUUUGGAUGGGCCCGCGUUGGAUUAGCUAGUUGGUAGGGUAAAAGCCUACCAAGGCGACGAUCCAUAGCUGGUCUGAGAGGAUGAUCAGCCACACUGGGACUGAGACACGGCCCAGACUCCUACGGGAGGCAGCAGUGGGGAAAAUUGGACAAUGGGCGAAAGCCUGAUCCAGCAAUGCCGCGUGAGUGAUGAAGGCCUUAGGGUUGUAAAGCUCUUUUACCCGGGAUGAUAAUGACAGUACCGGGAGAAUAAGCUCCGGCUAACUCCGUG